AGUUUGAUCCUGGCUCAGGACGAACGCUGGCGGCGUGCCUAACACAUGCAAGUCGAACGAGUCCACCCUUCGGGGUGAGGCGAGUGGCGGACGGGUGAGUAACACGUGAGCAAUCUAUCUUGUUGCGGGGGACAACGAGGGGAAACCUUCGCUAAUACCGCAUGGUCGAGAGCCUCCAUGAGGUUUUCGGGAAACGUGGCCUCUUAACAAUGCUACGGUGGCAGGAGGAGCUCGCGGGCUAUCAGCUAGUUGGUGAGGUAACGGCUCACCAAGGCGACGACGGCUACGGGGUCUGAGAGGACGACCCCGCACAUUGGAACUGAGACACGGUCCAGACUCCUACGGGAGGCAGCAGUGGGGAAUAUUGGGCAAUGGCCGAAAGGCUGACCCAGCGACGCCGCGUGUGGGAGGAAGCCCUUCGGGGUGUAAACCACUGUCAGGAGGGACGAAAGAGCUCAUGGUGAAUAAUCAUGGGCAGUGACGGUACCUUCAAAGGAAGCACCGGCUAACUCUGUGCCAGCAGCCGCGGUAAUACAGAGGGUGCAAGCGUUGUUCGGAAUUACUGGGCGUAAAGCGCGCGCAGGCGGAUCCUGUAAGUCGGAAGUGAAAUUUCGGGGCUCAACUCCGAAGCUGCUUCUGAUACUGCGGAUCUGGAGAUCGGUAGAGGUCGGUAGAAUUACAGGUGUAGCGGUGGAAUGCGUAGAUAUCUGUAAGAAUACCCGUGGCGAAGGCGGCCGACUGGGCCGAAUCUGACGCUGAGGCGCGAAAGCGUGGGGAGCAAACAGGAUUAGAUACCCUGGUAGUCCACGCCGUAAACGAUGGGCACUAGGUGCCGGGGGGAGCGACCCCUUCGGUGCCGCAGCUAACGCGAUAAGUGCCCCGCCUGGGGAGUACGGCCGCAAGGCUGAAACUCAAAGGAAUUGACGG
rnacentral:rRNA from 1 species